rnacentral:rRNA from 1 species
UGCAGUCGAACGAAGUAGCAAUACUUAGUGGCAGACGGGUGAGUAACAUGUGGGUAUCUGCCCUUUGGCCUGGAAUAACACGAGGAAACUUGUGCUAAUACCGGAUAAGUCUUUACGGAGAAAGCUUUAUGCACCAUUGGAUGAGCCCGCACUUGAUUAGUUUGUUGGUAGGGUAAUGGCCUACCAAGACUGUGAUCAAUAGCUGAUUUGAGAGGAUGAUCAGCCACAUUGGGACUGAGACACGGCCCAAACUCCUACGGGAGGCAGCAGUGGGGAAUCUUGCACAAUGGAGGAAACUCUGAUGCAGCGAUGCCGCGUGAGUGAAGAAGGCCUUUGGGUUGUAAAGCUCUUUCGUCGGGGAAGAAAAUGACUGUACCCGAAUAAGAAGGUCCGGCUAACUUCGUGCCAGCAGCCGCGGUAAUACGAAGGGACCUAGCGUAGUUCGGAAUUACUGGGCUUAAAGAGUUCGUAGGUGGUUGAAAAAGUUGGUGGUGAAAUCCCAGAGCUUAACUCUGGAACUGCCAUCAAAACUUUUCAGCUAGAGUUUGAUAGAGGAAAGCAGAAUUUCUAGUGUAGAGGUGAAAUUCGUAGAUAUUAGAAAGAAUACCAAUUGCGAAGGCAGCUUUCUGGAUCAUUACUGACACUGAGGAACGAAAGCAUGGGUAGCGAAGAGGAUUAGAUACCCUCGUAGUCCAUGCCGUANACGAUGUGUGUUAGACGUUGGAAAUUUAUUUUCAGUGUCGCAGCGAAAGCGAUAAACACACCGCCUGGGGAGUACGACCGCAAGGUUAAAACUCAAAUGAAUUGACGGGGACCCGCACAAGUAGUGGAGCAUGUGGUUUAAUUCGAAGAUACGCGCAGAACCUUACCACACUUGACAUGUUCGUCGCGACUUUA